rnacentral:rRNA from 1 species
UGGUGGAGUGAUUUGUCUGCUUAAUUGCGAUAACGAACGAGACCUUAACCUGCUAAAUAGCCAGGCCGGCUUUUGCUGGUCGCCGGCUUCUUAGAGGGACUAUCGGCUCAAGCCGAUGGAAGUUUGAGGCAAUAACA